CCCCAAGGACACAAGCCAUGCAUGCCCGCGCACCCGGGAGGCGGCGGACGGCUCAGGACAACGGUUGCACCCCCCGCGGCGGUCCCUGCUAGCCGGACACCGCUGGCAACCCGGCGCCAAGACGUG
rnacentral:rRNA from 1 species